CCAUUAUGAAGCCCUCUCCCUGAUUAACAUAUUUUUCUAAUUCAUCAGGCAGCUGUUGACAGGACUCAGUGGUGCUUGCUCGUAAAUGAAACAUGCCACAGAUUAUUCAAAACAAACAGUUUGUCUGUACACCAACUCAUGAAUAUCUGAGAGACACAAAGGCAUCAAAAGCUGACGGAAGAAUGAUGACUGAUGUUAACAUGAUGCACCAUUUCACAAAAUUGGGGAAAUAUUUUUUUUUAAAAAAAGAGAUCAAGUUGUUACAAAUCAGGUCUCUAAACAUGGUGCUCAGUGAGUGCCCUAGUUGCAGUGACCUACCCAGAAAACACGCUUGAAUAGGACGCUAAGAAAACUCACUGGAGACUGCAGGCCUAGUUUGCUGCACGGGUGAGUUUCUAAUGGCAUGAUGCCCCUUGAGACAGCAUGCUGACACGGGUGAAACACCGAAAAAAAGGCGAGAAAACAAGCAAGAAGAGAGACUAAAGAGCAAAGGAAGGCGGAAUUAAAGUGAGUGUCGAGGAUUCCAGGAAAGGGCCCACAACUCUCAAACCCAUGUGUCACGCUGGAGUGCAGGAGUCCCUCAGCUUCACUGUUUCACGUCCCAGAUUAGAUUGAACCGAGACCCGUGGCGGAGGAUUGGAGGUGCCACCAGGGUGAUCAGAGCUCCUGGAGGACUUCCUGGACUUCUCUCAGAUUCCGACAAAAGGGAUGAAGCUGGAAUCAGACUCCAGACUGUGUGUUGUAGGACGCACGAUUUUGUUGUAGGCUGAAACAAUGGAAUGAGUGUUAAAAUGCCCUUACUGUAUGUAAGGGAUAAUCCACGGCUAGGUAUGCAUUACCUUAUAACCACCUGACACCAAGAGGAGUGCAUUAAAAUCGUGUAAUGCACACCUAGCCGUGGAUGAUCCUAAUUAUACCAUGGUCACUUGCCAGCAUUGACAAGUUAAAGCUGUCAUUGGUGUUUGAAGUGAAAGUUUGGACUGAAAGGACAAAAAUAAUGGUUCAUUUUCAUUAGUUAGGGUCGUUAGAUCUAGAUAUAUUCUACCUGCUCUAAAUCAUACGCAGAGAUACAGUAUUGUCAUAAGAUUACAUUUAUUUGAAUAAAUUAUAGUAAAUAGUUAUUAGAUGGAGAGAGAGAGAGAGCCAAGGGAGAGAGUGUGCGUGUGUGAAUGACCUGCAUCUGUGUGGCGUCUCUACUAAUAACGAAGCUGUGAGUUUAACUACUGUAUGUUACUAUAGUUACGGUUGUAUAUAGGCAGAGCGUUAAUCUAGAACGGUGAUUAAACAGACUGCAACGUCCUGUGCAUUAUCUGAUCUGAAAGCACACCUUCCAGCCAAUCAGAAUCGAGUUUUCAGACAGAUCAUGGUAUAAAUAUAUAUAAUAGCUGAAGUAUUCAGUCUGAAAUGAUAUCUGUUAACUCAAUUGAUUAAUUCAUUCAAAAUAUACUCGCAUACUAGUUACAAUUCAAAGCCUUGUUGAAGGAGGAUCAUACUUUUUUUGUUAUGAUCCAUCAACAGCCACUCACACAGAUCAACAGAGUGAGUUUAUAAGCUGUCCACAAGGCGCUGUGGUUUUGUUUUGUUUUUGUUUUUGGCCAAUAAUUGUGAGCAAUUUAACUCAAAGACAAAAGCCUUCUCCGUUAUGAUGCCUGAGGCUCUGUGUUCGGGCAUACUAUAAACUUGGGGGUCGUCUUUGGCUGUACUUUCAGGCAUGAUUAUGUGGGAUGUACCUGAGUUAGCGUGUGACAUAUACGUUCAAAAUUUCCUGCCAAUUAGAACCCAACAGCCCUGACUGCACAUUACUGAGCUACUAUUACAGUAUUGUUAGGCUGAUUCAUAGCAACUCAGGAACAUAUAGCAUCAUAUAUGCUAUAUAUAUGAUGCAUCAUAUAGCAUCAUGUAUGCAUAUAUGCAUAUAUGAUGCUAUGUUCAUAUAUGCAGGAACAUAUAGCAUCAUAUAUGCUAUAAUAUGAUGCAUCAUAUAUGCAUCAUAUAGCACCCCCCCCCCCCCCAAAUCAAUGAUGAUUGCAACUUGUAUUCUGUGCCUCUCCAUUCUUCCUCCAGACUCUGGGACCUUGAUUUCCAAAUGGAAAUCAAAAUGUACUUUCAUCUUCCACAUGAUUGUGGUCGUGUACUGAACCAGACUGACAAAUUAAAGGCUCAGGAAACCUUUGCAGGUGUUUUGAGUUAAUUAGCUGAUUAGAGCUCUUCUCAGGUCGACGUUUCUGUAUUACAACUUCUUUAUCGUAAUAUUUUGAGGUACUGGAUUUUUAAUUCCCGUGAGCUGUAAGCCGUGAUCAUCAAGAAUAAACAAAAAAAAGGCUUGAAAUAUUUCACGUUAUGUGUAAUAAAUUUAGAAUAUAAGAAAGUUCCACUUUUUGAAUUAAAUUAUGGAAAAAAUCAAACAUUUCACGAAUUAAUUUUUUUUUGAGAUGCAUCUAUGUACACGUGUAUAUACGUAUAUAUAUAUUUUUUUUCUCCAGCGAUGGGAACUUGAAUGUUCGCAUUUAUAAAUGUGUUUUGCAGUUGCGUAAAAUUGUAAACGAAUAUUGAAAGAAUAAAAAAAUUUAAACUGAAUUUACUUUUAAAUGAGUUUUGAGUAAAUUUUUUUGUUCUUCUUCUUCUUCUUCUUCUUCUUUUCUAAGUACAGGGAAACUUUGUCAAAAUCCAACAAGCUAAAGAUAUGGUGGACAAAUUAAGCUAAAAAAUGAUGGAGUAUCCCUUUAAGAAGCAGACUGAGUCAUUUUCCACAUUAACAAUACUUCAUAUGGCCUGCCUGUCUACCUCACAUGGCUUGAAAGAUUUGCUUCCUGCCUGUGAACAGUGAUUGCUCCAAAAUGAGCUUCUUUAUUUAUACUGCAUUUAUUUAAAUACAGAAAAAGAAAAAAAAUCUGUUCUCUUGCAUUUCUCAUAUCUUUGUUCUACCUCAGUAGUUUAGUUGUUGAAUUGCACAGAUUUCUGCAUAGUUGGCAUGUGUAGUUAUCUGCCCUGGGCAGCAGGCACUAAAGACACUCCAUAUAUCACACCGGCUAUUCAGUGAGCCCGGUACAGAACACGACCUGUCACAUAGUUUUUGUUCGAGUCCUGGGAACAUUCUGCACCCUUCAGGAGUCUGCAAUAUUUCCUUUCUUUUCAUUAGCAGGAUGGAGUAGGGGCAUAAAUAAACAUACACUGUAAACGAGUUUAGGUAGCUGUUUUUACCUGUUUAGUGACGUCUAAAAAGUUUUGAUUAACACCUUAAAUCGUUCAGUUUAAAGCAUAUUAUUCACUAACGACAGUGAAAGUGAAAGAAUGAACAGACCUAGCGGCAGAUUUCAUUUUAAAAGUGUAAAGCUCACCCUAACUGCAACAAGAACAUUCACAGGUGAGUUCAAGUUUUGGACAGGAAUGCUGAGUUGUUGUUUGUAACCCGAGUUCUUUGAUAGUAAUGUAUUUCGUUAUGCUACUAAUGCAGGAAUCAGAUUGGCCUCGAUGGAGAUUUAAGAAGCUGCGUGAGCUAAUUUUGUGUGAGGAUUUUAAACAUCAAAACAAGAAAUCCGGUGUCCAGAUUUUUAAAAAAUAUAUACGCCAUGUCAGGGGAUUUUCCAGACUGACACAUGUACAGCAUGUCCAGACCCUCAUAUUUGUUUAUAGGUCAUUUAUUUUGCAUUUGUUACAUAUAAUUUUACAAUGUAUUUAAGUUGGACAGACUGCCUCCCUGCAUCUGGCUCUAUACCUGAAGUGUUGUCACACUACUGCUGUUAUAAUGUCCUAUAAAAGCACUUCAGCUGAUCUGUGACUCUCUCAAGAGCUCUCCCGUGUCAAGCAUUCCCACUCAGCUGUGAGAUUUCAUCCUCUCUCUCUCUCUCUUUCUGAUAGACAGGUGUUUAUUAAGAGGUGCUGACAGUGCUAUAGUGCUAGAAGACUUUCAGCUUGAUCUCUUCUUCGCUCUUUUGAUUAGACAGGGGUGAAAGUGUGAAAAUGGUCCUCGCAGUUUCCCUGUUCUCAUUGCCACGUGCUGAGAUCUCAGACCUCAGGUCAGUUUUUGUCAGCUUCUCCUAACAGUUAAGACGUGAAUUAGAAAGGAGUCGAGCUGAUCCUAUAUCAGGAUAAAAGAGGAAUUGCUAGGCUAACCCACACCCCCUCUUUCUUUCCCCAAAUCCACAGCUGCGGUCCUGCAUCUGUGUCAACUGUCAGAUUCAAUAGAGUAACACGCUGUGAAGGGGAAACACUCAUUCAUUAACAGUGUCAAUUCCAGCUACUAUAAAGUGACUCUGUGGCACUGAUAGGGGAUAUGCAUUGAUUUCCCUUCAGUGGCAGCCCAGAGUGUGUUUUAAUGGCCAUUAUUCAGAGGCCCAGCUACGAUGUGCUAAAACGCCUGUCCUGUUAACCUCACAGGCUUCCAGGGCUGUGCUCACGGAGAGGCAGACUCUUCAAUAACUUUGUUUUAUGGGAGGUAGACUUCUGCAAAGACGUUUGAACAAAAUUAUUUGGACAAUUGCCAUAUAACUUACAUACUGUUCCCUGAGUGGAUAAACAUUCAGAUUGAUGGCUGUUUUGCUUUAAGUAGACAGACCAAUUUCACCUGAUCAUUAUAGAAAAUUGUAUGUGUGAGAAAGAAUGAGUAUUAAAAUAUGUAUUUGUCCGUGACCAGACAGUAAGACCUAACUAGGGACGUAACCAGAUAUGAAUUGAACAGUUAAUGUGUUCUAAAUGAAUACAAAUACAGAUAUGAAUAGUAGGUGCACUAUUAUUAUUAUUAUUAUUAUUAUUAUUAAUAAUUAUUAUUAUUAUUUAUUUUGUUAUUUUUUAGAAAGCUUCAUGUUAAGACUAGGUGUGUACAUCAGGACUGGGAUUCCAAAGGAUGAAACAAGUAUAAGCACAAGAUUUUGUUUUACACUCUUGUGGAGCUGAGCAUUAAGCUUGUGAAUGGGUUGCCAGGUUUAAGCUUGAAUACCCACCCUAAGUACAACUUAAAAACAACACAAAAGAGAGAUUAAGAAUACAUAUACAAAUAUUUGGAUCAUUAAGCAAAUACGGAUAUACAGAUGAAGUAAGAACACCCUGUGACAAGGAGGAGGGAGAUGCCAGGUUGUGAAAAAGUACACCUGGCACUGAUUUGGCUAAUCAGUGGGAGAGAGAGAUAAAGGAUUACCUGGAAGUGGCAGUAAGAGCGAGAGAGACACAUUUGCACUCUGUGUUAUGUUUGUGUGUUUUCUGCUCUGUUUGAGUUUGGUUUAUUAUUCAACUUUAUGUUUGUGUUCAGCCGGGUCCCGCCUCCUCCUUGCUCGACUUUAAAGUUUGUUACACUGGUGCCGAAACCCGGGAAGGAGGAGGAACGCGUUGUAAGAAAGCUCUUUCCACUGUGGAAGGAUUGAAACACUGAGGAGGCAGUGGUGCUGGAGUGGUUGCUGAGGAGGAGUCGAUGCCGUCUGCGGGGACGCGGAGGAACCCCCUACUGUCCGCCUGAAAGGGGAGGAGUGGUUGCUGUCUGCCAGGGGAUGGAGGACCCGCUGCUGUCCCCCGGGGAAGCGGAGAUGUGGCUGCCGUCUUCCUGAAAAGGGGAGGAGCCAUAGCCGUCCAUCAGGGAGGUGGAGGUGUGGCUGCCAUCCCCCAGAAUAGGGGAGGAACCGCGGCCUCCCGCUUGCAAAGGGGCCGGCCGUUCAAAAGACGUAGCCGAGAGGGCAACACCGCCCUCCUGAAAGGGUGGGAGGGGGUGUGCGUCAGGCCGGGCGCAUAAAUCUGGUGGUGGAGGAGUGUGAUGAGGAGGAGGGAGAAACCAUGUUAUGAGGAUGCAUACCUGGCACUGAUUUGGCUAAUCGGUCCGAGAGAGAGAUAAAGGAGCGGCUGGAAGCGCCGGUGAGAGAGAGAGAGAGAGAGAGAGAGAGAGAGAGAGAGAGAUGCAUGUGCAUUUUGUGUUCUGUUUGUGUUUCUGUUAUGUUUGAGUUCUGUUUAGGAUUAACGUUUAUGUUUAUGUUCAGCUGGUCCGUGCCUCCUCCUUGCCCGGCUCUAAAGUGUAUUACACACCCCUAGUAAGAAAAGCUAACAGGAACACAGGUUUCAAAUACAAUGUAUCUAGUCCACUAACGCCAACCCUUGUUUUAAGUCUCUUGCAGAACGGGACAUGUUUUCUUAUAGAAUUACCCUGUAUGUGGCAUCCAUAUUGCCCUCAUAGUUUACCAGUUUGCCCUGCUGAUAAAAAAGCAUCCCCACAACAUGAUGAUACCACCACCAUGCUUCACUGGGGAUGGUGUUCUCAUGGUGAUGAUUGGUCUUGGGUUUCCCCCAAACCUAACACUUUGUGCCAAAGAUAAAAAUGUUCAAUUUUCCAAUUAUUUCCUGAAUUUAAAAUGCCCAGUGGCUUUCUUCCCACCACUCUUCCAUAGCUUUGUGGCGUGUCUGUGGCCUGGGUUACAGUUAUCCUCUGAACAGCUUCUCCCAUCUUAACUGUGAAUCUCUCCAGUUCCUUCAGAGUUACCCUGCUUGCUUCUCUGAACAAUUUAAGAUCUUCUAUGUGCAGGUGUGUCAAAACUAUUGCGUGUUACUGUCCAAAUCUUGGCAUUAUGCACAGUGUGACAUUCAUUAGUAAAUCACGGUCUUCUUCAGACAACUAAUAAUGUUACAUUUGCUUCUUAUUUUUGUUAAUUACUACAUUGAGUGAUCAUGUCUGGUCAGAGAAACAAGCUUGGGUAUUUGGGGGAAUGGAGUUUUUAGUACCAGCCCUCGUUCUUUUUUUUUUUUUCAGGAAAGCGGAUCCCCCAUAUGUACACCAAUAAAAGUGAGUGACUUAGGAGGAGUGUCUAUCAUAGAGUGGAGGCAAACCUGAGACAGAUAGAGAGAUAGUGAGGGUGUGAGAGCUCACUAAUAGGCCCUCGACAAGAUGCCAGCCCGUUUUUCACAUCAUGUCAUCUGUAAGGGUUGAAAUAAAAGUAAUGGCCAGAUCCCUCUCUGCCAUUACAGCUCCGGCAGUUCAGCAUUUAUUUGUGUUGACUGGUGCGGGCUUGGCGGCGUGACAGAAUCAUAGAUCCGAGAUCAGACACCGCCAUGAUGUUCAGCGCUGUUCAGGCACUGACAGGUCCCCCGCUCGCCUCCUCAUCUCAUAGCGGGAGCGUUAGCGGCUAACGCUGCGUCAUAUCAAAUGCAGCCAUCUGACACGAUAACGGAUCUGGCACACCGCAGACGUGACCCAGUCUGUCUUUUGUAAUCGGCUGACAGAUAGAAGCUCUGAAAUAAGAAGGCUUCUUCAGUUUCAUGUAGUAAAAAUUAGUGUCAGUCAAAGUUAAGUGCCUGUUUUUGACCAGAGAGAGGAAAGAUGAGGGAGUUUACUGUCAGUGUUAUUCACGUACCAGGCUAGUAAACUAAGUGGAAAUGAUUUAUAAGGGGAAAAAAGGAUUUUAAAUUGGCCAUUUUAUUUUCUCGGAAGGCUCAGCCUUAAAUGUACUUUUCAGCUCUCAGUCUAUUUGCACUAUUGUUUAAGCUGCACUGCCUGAUAUGAAAGACUGUUUUGUCCACUUUUACUGGUGUAGCAAAAUAAUAAAAAUAGUACUUCUCAUGUGUAAGACUGUCACUGUUAAUAUUUGAUGUUCAAGCGUUUUAACUUCUUAGUACAGAGCCAAGCUACUGAUGAGUAUAUUGGGCUAGUAGCACCACCGGCAACACUAUUAGCUAACUUUACUAGCUGGUUUACUUUAACUACAGUAGCUACAUGUUCUAGCAGUAAUAUGGCAUGGAAGGCGUGGAAGCUUGAAAUGAGGGGAAUUGUCCUAUUGGCCGAGUAUUGUUGUAUAUUUGAAAUCCAUCCAUUGUGGUGGCUGCAUUUUGUCCGUAUGUUACAAAUAAGACAAAUGACUCGAGGAGACUACUGACUGCUAACAAGACCAAGUGGAUUAUGAGAACAAGUUGCUUGAUUAGAUACAGUAUUAGUAGUAUUUACUGUAUAUCACAGCGUUAA
ensembl:lncRNA